AGAUAUUUCAAUCCACGAAGACGCGCCCCACUAUUUAUCGCGAGGGGAAACCGCGGGGUGCGGGGAGUUCAGUUAUACAAAGCAC